AUGAACGCUGGCGGCGUGCCUAAUACAUGCAAGUCGAGCGAACAGACGAGGAGCUUGCUCCUCUGACGUUAGCGGCGGACGGGUGAGUAACACGUGGAUAACCUACCUAUAAGACUGGGAUAACUUCGGGAAACCGGAGCUAAUACCGGAUAAUAUAUUGAACCGCAUGGUUCAAUAGUGAAAGACGGUUUUGCUGUCACUUAUAGAUGGAUCCGCGCCGCAUUAGCUAGUUGGUAAGGUAACGGCUUACCAAGGCAACGAUGCGUAGCCGACCUGAGAGGGUGAUCAGCCACACUGGAACUGAGACACGGUCCAGACUCCUACGGGAGGCAGCAGUAGGGAAUCUUCCGCAAUGGGCGAAAGCCUGACGGAGCAACACCGCGUGAGUGAUGAAGGUCUUCGGAUCGUAAAACACUGUUAUUAGGGAAGAACAAAUGUGUAAGUAAAUAUGCACGUCUUGACGGUACCUAAUCAGAAAGCCACGGCUAACUACGUG
rnacentral:rRNA from 1 species